CUGCAAAUUGGCAGCGUGCUAUAAUGCAAGUCGAGCGCGGGAAGCCGGCGGACUCCUUCGGGAGGAAACCGGUGGAACGAGCGGCGGACGGGUGAGUAACACGUGGGCAACCUGCCGGACUGAUGGGAAUAACCCCGGGAAACCGGGGCUAAUGCCCAAUACGCCCUGACCUCGCCUGAGGUCAGCGGCAAAGCAGGGAUCUUCGGAUCCUUGCACAGUCCGAUGGGCCCGCGGCGCAUUAGCUAGUUGGAGAGGUAAGGGCUCCCCAAGGCGACGAUGCGUAGCCGACCUGAGAGGGUGAUCGGCCACACUGGGACUGAGACACGGCCCAGACUCCUACGGGAGGCAGCAGUAGGGAAUCAUCCGCAAUGGGCGAAAGCCUGACGGUGCAACGCCGCGUGAGUGAUGAAGGUUUUCGGAUCGUAAAGCUCUGUUGACAGGGAAGAACCCACGCCAGUCGAACAGGCUGGCGUGCUGACGGUACCUGUCCAGAAAGCCCCGGCUAACUACGUGCCAGCAGCCGCGGUAAUACGUAGGGGGCAAGCGUUGUCCGGAAUUAUUGGGCGUAAAGGGCACGCAGGCGGUUUCGUCAGUCCGAUGUGACAGGCCACGGCUCAACCGUGGAAGGCCAUUGGAAACUGCGAAACUUGAGGACAGAAGAGGAGAGUGGAAUUCCACGUGUAGCGGUGAAAUGCGUAGAUAUGUGGAGGAACACCAGUGGCGAAGGCGACUCUCUGGUCUGUACCUGACGCUGAGGUGCGAAAGCAUGGGGAGCAAACAGGAUUAGAUACCCUGGUAGUCCAUGCCGUAACGCUGAGUGCUAGUGUUAGGGGUUUCGAUACCCGUAUGCCGAAGCUAACGCAUUAAGCACUCCGCCUGGGGAGUACGACCGCAAGGUUGAAACUCAAAGGAAUUGACGGGGCCCGCACAAGCGGUGGAGCAUGUGGUUUAAUUCGACUCACGCGAAGACCUUACCAGAUCUUGACAUCUCCCGCUACGCCUCGAGAGAGGCGUUCCCCUUCGGAGGACGAUGACAGUGUGCAUGUGUCGUCAGCUCGUGUCUGAGAUGGUAGGUAAGUCCGCCACCGAGCGCAUCCCUAAUCCUAGUGCUAGCAUCAGUGGUCACUCUAUGGUGACUGCAGUGACACCGAAGGCAGGUGGGAUACGUUCAAUCAUCAUCCUAUGAUCUGGCUACACUGUCUCAAUGAUGUCACUUAGCGCACUCUGCAAGUGCGAACCAUCACUGGC
rnacentral:rRNA from 1 species